GCAAGUCGAACGAUAACGGAUCUUAGCUUUCUAAGAUUGUCAGCUAAGUGGCGCACGGGUGAGUAAUAUAUAUGUAACAUGCCUUCGAGAAGGGCAUAACGUUUGGAAACGAACGCUAAUACCCUAUAUGCCUUUAAGUCUUAAGACUGCAAGGGAAAUAUUUAUAGCUCGAAGAUUGGCCUGCACAGUAUCAGUUAGUUGGUGAGGUAAUGGCUCACCAAGACAAUGACGCUUAGCUGGUUUGAGAGGAUGAUC
rnacentral:rRNA from 1 species